AAAACCAGGCUCUCGUCGUCAUUCCUCAGCUUUGGCUUGAUUCAGGGGCAAAUCCGCCUUGAAGGUUGGGGUGCUAUGUCACUUGCCAGCUUGGUAUUCUGUAAAGAUUGGAGAUGAAAUUAAAGAGAGGAGGAAUUUGGAAAGAACAAAAAGGGAAAUAGGGUUACGAAUUAGGAAAGAGGCGGAGAUUACUAAGGGAGCUGAAAUAAUAAAUGAACGGUGGAGAUUAAAAGAGAUCUGGGUUAAUCCAAGGGCUGAGAUUGAAGUCCAAUCCAACUAAAUAGUUAGUUGGGCCAGCCCAACUAAUAAGUUUUUGGCCGGUUAAUUCAUUCUCACAUUGGAGCUACAAACUUGAGAGACGUGCGCUAUAAUAGCUUGUUGUAUUUCCUUCUAGCUGAUUGUAAUAAGGAACUCUCGAUUGAAAUCAAUAAAGUUCAGU